UACGAAGGGGGCGAGCGUUGUUCGGAUUUACUGGGCGUAAAGGGCGCGUAGGCGGCCCUCCUAGUCGCGUGUGAAAGCCCCGGGCUCAACCUGGGGAAUUGCGCGCGAAACGGGGGGGGCUUGAGUUCGGGAGAGGAGCGUGGAAUUCCCAGUGUAGAGGUGAAAUUCGUAGAUAUUGGGAAGAACACCGGUGGCGAAGGCGGCGCUCUGGACCGAGACUGAC
rnacentral:rRNA from 1 species